rnacentral:rRNA from 1 species
UACGUAGGGGCCGAGCGUUGUCCGGAUUCAUUGGGCGUAAAGAGCGUGUAGGCGGCUGGGUAGGUCCGUUGUGAAAACUCGAGCUCAACCUCGAGACGCCGAUGGAAACCCUCCAGCUAGAGUCCGGAAGAGGAGAGUGGAAUUCCUGGUGUAGCGGUGAAAUGCGCAGAUAUCAGGAAGAACACCCGUGGCUAAGGCGGCUCUCUAGUACGGUACUGACGCUGAGACGCGAAAGCGUGGGGAGCGAACAGG